GCUCUGUGAUGAGCCCCAUGCGUGUCAUCUGAGCCUGGCUUCCCUGAGGUAUUCAGCCCAGGGUGGUGUUCUACUUCCCGAGGCCAAUGUCUGACCUGAUGGGAUGCUCAGGCAGAGGAUAAAUCUGAAGUUCUGAGAGC